rnacentral:rRNA from 1 species
UACGUAGGGGGCAAGCGUUGUCCGGAAUCAUUGGGCGUAAAGAGCGUGUAGGCGGCCUGGUAAGUCCGCUGUGAAAGUCCAGGGCUCAACCCUGGAAUGCCGGUGGAAACUGUCAGGCUCGACGUCCGGAAGAGGCGAGUGGAAUCCUGUGUAGCGGUGAAAUGCGCAGAGUAUCAGGAGGAACACCAAUGGCGAAGGCAGCUCGCUGGGACGGUACUGACGCUGGAGACGCGAAAGCGUGGGGAGCAAACAGGG